AUGUCUUCAUGCCCAGUGGUAUCCGCUUCCAUGCCGCCGAGCCUCCUCAAUUGCUAUGCUAUAGCUGACUCAGGAAUGCAUUCAGGCUGUUGUUGCUAACUUGAGAGAGCCCAUGAAAUUUCUUCAGACGAUGAAACAAAUGCCGAGGUUCUCAGGUUUAUUGAUGUUGGCAUAGUCUGUUGUGGUAAUUUCCUGCGGAUGCGAGCUCGGCAAGUAUUGGCUGGUGCUGGAGACAUACAUCAUAUGCCUACAAAACUAAGGGAAUUCGUGCUUAAAAAAUGAGGCCAUUGUAUUUACUUGCAACACAGAUAAGAUUUUGUUUCCUUGCUGCAUUAGUUCACUGCUGCCUGGGUUGUAUCUACAGUAUUCAAGAUUCCUUACUGAUGUUCAAAUGAUUUUCUGGAUUGUUGGAUUCAGCUGACCUCAGAAUUCAGCUUCCAUUAAAGGAAAGGCUCAUCUCC